GCAAAAUGGCCAGGUGAGAGGGUGAGCCUUUGUGUGGUUGCAAUUGGUUAUGCUGCUAUGUUGGCAAAAUUUUGAAAUGAUGAGAAAUAGAGAUGAACAAAAAUUGUCAUGGUUGGCAAGGCCAGUUAGGUUAGCUUGGACAGAAAAAAAAGCAAGGUGGUGGAGGGUUUUUGCUUGUCUGCUCUAUGAUGUUUUAUAUCAUUCUCCUUUUGACAGAGAAAACAAAUGCC
rnacentral:lncRNA from 1 species